GUGCUCGCUUCGGCAGCACAUAUACUAAAAUUGGAACGAUACAGAGAAGAUUAGCAUGGCCCCUGCCCAAAAAUAAGUAACUAAAGGCACAAGCCUGUCAACGUUCAG